UACAGAGGUCCCAAGCGUUGUUCGGAUUCACUGGGCGUAAAGGGUGCGUAGGUGGUGAGGUAAGUCGGAUGUGAAAUCUCCGAGCUCAACUCGGAAAUGGCAUUGGAAACUACCUUGCUAGAGGGUUGGAGGGGGGACUGGAAUACUUGGUGUAGCAGUGAAAUGCGUAGAUAUCAAGUGGAACACCAGUGGCGAAGGCGAGUCCCUGGACAACUCCUGACACUGAGGCACGAAAGCUAGGGGAGCAAACGGG
rnacentral:rRNA from 1 species